CCUACGGGAGGCAGCAGUGGGGAAUAUUGGGCAAUGGACGCAAGUCUGAACCAGCCAAGUCGCGUGAGGGAUGAAGGUUCUAUGGAUCGUAAACCUCUUUUAUAAGGGAAUAAAGUGUGGGACGUGUCCUGUUUUUUAUGUACCUUAUGAAUAAGGAUCGGCUAACUCCGUGCCAGCAGCCGCGGUAAUACGGAGGAUCCGAGCGUUAUCCGGAUUUAUUGGGUUUAAAGGGUGCGUAGGCGGCCUUUUAAGUCAGCGGUGAAAGGCUGUGGCUCAACCAUAGAAUUGCCGUUGAAACUGGGAGGCUUGAGUAUGUUUGAGGCAGGGGGAAUGCGUGGUGUAGCGGUGAAAUGCUUAGAUAUCACGCAGAACCCCGAGUGCGAAGGCAGCCUGCCAAGCCAUGACUGACGCUGAUGCACGAAAGCGUGGGGAUCAAACAGGAUUAGAUACCCUUGUAGUC
rnacentral:rRNA from 1 species